rnacentral:rRNA from 1 species
UACGGGGGGGGCAAGCGUUGUUCGGAAUUACUGGGCGUAAAGGGCGCGUAGGCGGCCAUCUAAGUCAGACGUGAAAUCCCCCGGCUCAACCUGGGAACUGCGUCUGAUACUGGACGGCUUGAGUUUGGGAGAGGGAUGUAGAAUUCCAGGUGUAGCGGUGAAAUUCGUAGAUAUCGGGAGGAACACCGGUGGCGAAGGCGGCGACCUGGGUCGAGACUGACGCUAAUACGCGAAAGCGUGGGGAGCAAACAGG